GACGAACGCUGGCGGCGUGCUUAAUACAUGCAAGUCGAGCGAGGUUACUGUUUUGGAUCCCUUCGGGGUGAAGAAGCUUUAACCUAGCGGCGGACGGGUGAGUAACGCGUGGGUAACCUACCCCAAAGUCCGGGAUAACAGCGGGAAACCGCUGCUAAUACCGGAUGUCUUUACCUUGGGGCAUCUUGAGGUAAAGAAAGGUAACGCUUUGGGAUGGGCCCGCGUCCCAUUAGCUAGUUGGUGAGGUAACGGCUCACCAAGGCGACGAUGGGUAGCCGGCCUGAGAGGGUGGACGGCCACACUGGGACUGAGACACGGCCCAGACUCCUACGGGAGGCAGCAGUGGGGAAUAUUGCGCAAUGGACGGAAGUCUGACGCAGCGACGCCGCGUGAGCGAUGAAGGUCUUCGGAUCGUAAAGCUCUGUCCUUGGGGAAGAAGGCGAAAGCUUGACGGUACCCAAGAAGAAAGCCCCGGCUAACUACGUGCCAGCAGCCCGCGGUAAUACGUAGGGGGCGAGCGUUGUUCGGAAUUACUGGCGUAAAGGGUGCGUAGGCGGCCUUUAAGUCGGAUGUGAAAGCCCGCGGCUUAACCCGCGGAAUGGCAUUUCGAAACUUGAGGGCUUUGA
rnacentral:rRNA from 1 species